AUGGCGUUCGGAACAGAGCGGGAACUCCGUCCAGGUUUGCUGAGUGAAUCAACAAAUGUCCAACCUCAUCGGCAGAUUGGAGCCUUCAGGUUUCUAGGCUGGAAACCACAGGUGGCCCUUCCUGAAAUGAUUCAACAUCCAACUUGGACUCAGCACCAGCCGCUCCCUGCUCGCUCCAGGUGGUCAGUCCCAAAGGACCAGGCCAGGAC
rnacentral:lncRNA from 1 species